CACACGACUCUCGGCAACGGAUAUCUCGGCUCUCGCAUCGAUGAAGAACGUAGCGAAAUGCGAUACCUGGUGUGAAUUGCAGAAUCCCGCGAACCAUCGAGUCUUUGAACGCAAGUUGCGCCCGAGGCCACCCGGCUGAGGGCACGCCUGCCUGGGCGUCACGC
rnacentral:rRNA from 27 species